GAAAUGCGAUAAGUAGUGUGAAUUGCAGAAUUCAGUGAAUCAUCGAAUCUUUGAACGCACAUUGCGCCCCUUGGUAUUCCAUGGGGCAUGCCUGUUCGAGCGUCAUUUGUACCCUCAAGCUCUGCUUGGUGUUGGGUGUUUGACCCCGUCUCCGCGCGUGGACUCGCCCCAAAGUGAUUGGCAGCCGGCGUACUGGUCCCGGAGCGCAGCACAUGUCGCGCAACCGAGUGCCUUGGUACGGCGGCGUCCAUAAGCCCCUCUCUCACGCUCUUGACCUCGGAUCAGGUAGGGAUACCCGCUGAACUUAAGC
rnacentral:misc_RNA from 1 species